rnacentral:rRNA from 1 species
AGGCGACGACGGGUAGCCGGCCUGAGAGGGUGAUCGGCCACAUUGGGACUGAGAUACGGCCCAGACUCCUACGGGAGGCAGCAGUGGGGAAUAUUGCACAAUGGGCGGAAGCCUGAUGCAGCGACGCCGCGUGAGGGAUGACGGCCUUCGGGUUGUAAACCUCUUUCAGCAGGGACGAAGCGUAAGUGACGGUACCUGCAGAAGAAGCACCGGCUAACUAUGUGCCAGCAGCCGCGGUAAUACGUAGGGUGCGAGCGUUGUCCGGAAUUACUGGGCGUAAAGAGCUCGUAGGCGGUUUGUCACGUCGUCUGUGAAAUCCUAGGGCUUAACCCUGGACGUGCAGGCGAUACGGGCUGACUUGAGUACUACAGGGGAGACUGGAAUUUCUGGUGUAGCGGUGGAAUGCACAGAUAUCAGGAAGAACACCGAUGGCGAAGGCAGGUCUCUGGGUAGUAACUGACGCUGAGGAGCGAAAGCAUGGGUAGCGAACAGGAUUAGAUACCCUGGUAGUCCAUGCCGUAAACGGUGGGCGCUAGGUGUGGGGUUCCUUCCACGGGCUCCGCGCCGUAGCUAACGCAUUAAGCGCCCCGCCUGGGGAGUACGGCCGCAAGGCUAAAACUCAAAGAAAUUGACGGGGGCCCGCACAAGCGGCGGAGCAUGUGGAUUAAUUCGAUGCAACGCGAAGAACCUUACCUGGGCUUGACAUAUAGAGGAUCGCUACAGAGAUGUGGUUUCCCUUGUGGCUUCUAUACAGGUGGUGCAUGGUUGUCGUCAGCUCGUGUCGUGAGAUGUUGGGUUAAGUCCCGCACGAGCGCAACCCUUGUCUUAUGUUGCCAGCACGUUAUGGUGGGGACUCGUGAGAGACUGCCGGGGUCAACUCGGAGGAAGGUGGGGAUGACCG